AUACAUUUCUCAUCCUUUUGGCUAAGAUAAAGUAUAAUAUUUGUUCUUAUAAGUUUACUAUUUGAUAUGUGGACUAUAUAUUCACUUUGAUAUUAAAUUUAUUUUUUAUAAAUAUCAAAUAUGACUGUGUCAUCGUAAUACACAUACAUUGUACUAGUGACCUAUGAUCACGAG
rnacentral:snRNA from 1 species